rnacentral:misc_RNA from 1 species
GGAUGGAUCAUUCUCAACCAACGAUCUUACCAUCAAAAAAAAAAGGAAAGGGGGGGAAAAAAAAGGAAAAAGGAAACAAACGUUCCCUCUCCUUUCGCCCCCCCCCCGCCCUUUCUUACACACGGCUCAAUUCGGUUAAAGUCCAUAUCUAUUAUUUUUAAACCACUGUUACAAAUCAUUGAAACCUUUUUAAAUUUGUUUUUUUUUUUUUUUUGCAUUGUUUAAUCAACGCAAAAAAAAAAAAAAGAAACAAAAAACAAACAAACAAACAAAAAAAAAAGACUUUUAACAAUGGAUAUCUUGGCUCAGAGGACGAUGAAGAGCGCAGCGAAAUGCGAUACGUAAUGUGAAUUGCAGAAUUCUGUGAAUCAUCAAACUCUUGAACGCAACUUGCGGUGCUGUUGAGGCACCAUGUCUGUUGGAGUGUCGUUAAUAACAACACUCGACGCUCAAGCGGCGGCGGUCAUGUGCGUGCUCUCUCUCUCUCGAGAGAGCUCGCAGCAAAAUGCAUUUAUUAUUUCUCCUCCCCCCCCCCCCUUCUUGUGAUUGGGAACGAGAGAGAGCACUGUUCACUUGAGAUCGGAAACCGCUCAUAACCGACUGACUGCCUCCGCGCACGCACACUGUGUGUGUUGUGGUGGACGACUGAGGUUCUGUGUGUUUUUGGGGGAUUCACUUUCUGAACCACCACACUAACACUGCAGAGUCACCGCGGUCUGUCAUCGUGCAGUUCUUGUUUGGGAGCGGGUUCGGAUCGCUUGGCGGUGCUCACUCACUGAUCGGAACCAAAAAAAACAGGAAGGAAGGAAGGGGAAAAAAGAAAAAAAAACUAUUAUUUUCAAUGCAGCGACCUCCAAUCAGACAAGACAACCCGCUGAAUUUAAGCAUAUAAUUAAGCGGAGGAAAAGAAAACAACCGUGAUUCCCUCAGUAACGGCGAGUGAAGCGGGAACAGGUCAGCGCGAAAAUCUGGGCCUCCGCUGGGAGCUCCGAGUUGUGCGCUUUCGAUGCGGCAUCUGGUCGCCGCCCAGUCAAAGUCCGUUGGAACACGGCGCCGGAGAGGGUGACAGCCCCGUGAAGCGACUGGGAGCAGCAGACGCGGCCUGACGUUGCCGUAUCGUAGAGUCGGGCACUUUGGGAUUUGUGCCUUAACAUGGGAGAUGAAUUCCUCCCAAACCUAAAUAUCACUCUGAGACCGAUAGCGAACAAGUAGCGUGAGCGAAAGAUGAAAAGUACUCUGAAAAGAGAGUCAAAAGGGCUUGAAGUUGUUAAAAUGGAAGCGGAUGGCCUCAGUACUGAUCGUAGGCGCGAAUCAAGGCUCGGCGCACUCGGCGGUGUCCAUUGGCGUCGGUUUGGAAGGCGUGCGUUCGCGCGCGUCGCCCCGGCGUUCCGGACGGCUGUCGUCGGGCUGGUACUUUGCGUCGUGAGCGAUUGGUCAGCAUGAGCGGUGCCGGAUCGCAGAAAGCCGGGUGGUCGUCUCUACGGAAGCCCCUUUCCGAAGGGGUGGAGACGCUCGGUAGGAUCGUAGCGACCGGCGGCCGCUGAGGAAAAAACAAGUUGCAGCUUGUGCCGCAAGGCGGGACGGCCUGCUGUCUGGCGGGGCGCGUGCGGGGGGACUGCGUGCAGUGCUUUCGUGUGCGCUUGGCCACUUCAGGUGGGUGCGGUCACCAGAGACAAGCUCAAGAUGCCUGACAAAAUGGUGUCAUCCGACCCGUCUUGAAACACGGAUCAAGGAGUCCAACAUACGUGCGAGUGCAGAGGUGGCAAACCUCCACGCGUAAUGAAAGUGAAGAGCGGCACUUUGGCCGCUCGAGGUGGGAACCCGUCGCGAGGCGGGUGCACCAUCGACCGAUCUGGAUUCUCGUUAUGAAAGAUUUGAGUAAGAGCACGCAUGCUGGGACCCGAAAGAUGGUGAACUAUGGCUGCGCAGGAUGAAGCCAGAGGAAACUCUGGUGGAGGUCCGUAGGGGUUCUAACGUGCAAAUUGAUCUCUAGACGUGGCUAUAGGGGCGAAAGACUAAUCGAACUAUCUAGUAGCUGGUUCCCUC